rnacentral:rRNA from 1 species
ACUCCCUACCGGAGGCAGCCAGUGGGAAUUUGGACAUGGGGCACUGAUUCAGCAUUCGCGUGAGUGAAGAAGCUUCGGGUGUAAAGCUCUUUUCGUCAGAACGAAAAGGCGGGCUCUAACAUAGCCUGUCAAUGACGUACCUGAAGAAGAAAGCACCGGCUAACUACGUGCCAGCAGCCGCGGUAAUACGUAGGGUGCGAGGCGUUAAUCGGAAUUACUGGGCGUAAAGCGUGCGCAGGCGGUUUUGUAAGACAGGUGUGAAAUCCCCGGGCUUAACCUGGGAACUGCGCUUGUGACUGCAAGACUUGAGUGCGGCAGAGGGGGGUGGAAUUCCACGUGUAGCAGUGAAAUGCGUAGAGAUGUGGAGGAACACCGAUGGCGAAGGCAGCCCCCUGGGUCGACACUGACGCUCAUGCACGAAAGCGUGGGUAGCAAACAGGAUUAGAUACCCUGGUAGUCCACGCCCUAAACGAUGCGAACUAGGUGUUGGGGGAGGAGACUUCCUUAGUACCGCAGCUAACGCGUGAAGUUCGCCGCCUGGGGAGUACGGUCGCAAGAUUAAAACUCAAAGGAAUUGACGGGGACCCGCACAAGCGGUGGAUGAUGUGGAUUAAUUCGAUGCAACGCGAAAAACCUUACCUACCCUUGACAUGCCAGGAACCCUGCUGAGAGGCGGGGGUGCCCGAAAGGGAGCCUGGACACAGGUGCUGCAUGGCUGUCGUCAGCUCGUGUCGUGAGAUGUUGGGUUAAGUCCCGCAACGAGCGCAACCCUUGUCAUUAGUUGCCAUCAUUCAGUUGGGCACUCUAAUGAGACUGCCGGUGACAAACCGGAGGAAGGUGGGGAUGACGUCAAGUCCUCAUGGCCCUUAUGGGUAGGGCUUCACACGUCAUACAAUGGUCGGUACAGAGGGUUGCCAAGCCGCGAGGUGGAGCCAAUCCCAGAAAGCCGAUCGUAGUCCGGAUCGGAGUCUGCAACUCGACUCCGUGAAGUCGGAAUCGCUAGUAAUCGCGGAUCAGCAUGCCGCGGUGAAUACGUUCCCGGGUCUUGUACACACCGCCCGUCACACCAUGGGAGUGGGUUUCACCAGAAGUAGGUAGCCUAACCGCGAGGGGGGCGCUUACCACGGUGGGAUUCAUGACUGGGGUGAAGUCGUAACAAGGUAG